GGCGGUCCCGAGGGAGCGGGGACCGGGCGAGCCGCUCGGUGCGUGCAAAGCGCGACAUGGCGGCGAGGCCUAGGAGCCCGGCUGCCCAGUGUGUACGAGGCGGGGGGCGGGGCUAGGCGCGGCCUUGACAACCAUUAGAGCGCUUGGGGCUGCGCGGCUCGGGGACUAUGUUUCCCAGGGGCCCUCGCGGCGGGCCGGAAGGGGCGGGCCUCCUGCCAGUGCGCACGCGCGCCAGUCCGGCUGGUUAUAUAAGGGAGGCUCCAGCCGCUUUCGUUCUUUUGCUUCGGAGGCGCUUGUAGUUUGUAGUUGUUCUGUUCGCGAUUCUCGGCAUGUCUUCCUUCGCUGUUAACCACGUUUGUUUUAUGGUUAACGCGAUUGGAUUCAGAAUGGAUGUUGCAAGACGGGCUCACCUCUGGGCUUCCACGGGAACCCCACUUUCUGUCUUCGGAGCUUUGGGGUUUGCUACCAGAAACCAGGCUUUGAAUGAACGAGGAUAAAUUCCAGGAGUGUGAAAGGAUUGGAGUCCUGGGUGCUAUUAUGUUGACAUUAGUCUAAUCUGAUGUCUUUGCUUCAGUCCAUCCUGCAACAGAAGUUGCUCAGCCAUGGAGUUGGAGUACAAAUACUGAAA